rnacentral:rRNA from 1 species
AAAACAUGGUUUUUUGUUUAUAUAAAAAAUCUGGCCUGCUCAGUGAAUUUUAAAUAGCUGCAGUAUUUUGACUGUACAAAGGUAGCAUAAUCACUUGUCUUUUAAUUGAGGUCUGGAAUGAAUGGUUUGAUGAAAAAUAUACUUUAUUUAUUUUUAAUAAAAAAUUUAAUUUUUGAGUUAAAAAGCUUUGAAAUUUUUUUAUAGGACGAGAAGACCCUAUAGAACUUUAUUUAUAUAUUUUUAUAUUUUUUCUAGAUUAUAUAUUUUUAAUAAAAAUAUAUAAAUUUUGUUGGGGUGACAAAAAAAAUAAAAUAACUUUUUUUUAUUUUUACAUUUAUUUAUGUAUAUUUGAUCCUUUAUUUUGGAAAAAAGAAUAAGUUACCUUAGGGAUAACAGCGUUAUUAUUUUGGAGAGUUCAUAUCGAUGAAAUAGUUUGCGACCUCGAUGUUGGAUUAAAAUAAGAUAUAGAAGUAGAAUGUUAUAUUCUUGGUCUGUUCGACCUUUAAAUUUUUACAUGAUCU